rnacentral:rRNA from 1 species
UACGUAGGGUGCGAGCGUUGUCCGGAAUUAUUGGGCGUAAAGAGCUCGUAGGCGGUCUGUCGCGUCGAUCGUGAAAACUUGGGGCUUAACCCUGAGCUUGCGGUCGAUACGGGCAUGACUGGAGUUCGGCAGGGGAGACUGGAAUUCCUGGUGUAGCGGUGAAAUGCGCAGAUAUCAGGAGGAACACCGGUGGCGAAGGCGCCACUCUGGGCCGAAACUGACGCUGAGGAGCGAAAGCGUGGGUAGCAAACAGG